UACAGAGGUCCCAAGCGUUGUUCGGAUUCAUUGGGCGUAAAGGGUGUGUAGGUGGCGCGCUAAGUCGGGUGUGAAUUUCGGAGCUUAAACUCCGAAACUGCAUUCGAUACUGCCGUGCUUGAGGACUGGAGAGGAGACUGGAAUUUACGGUGUAGCGGUGAAAUGCGUAGAUAUCGAUAACGGAAGACCAGUGGACGGAAGGCGGGU
rnacentral:rRNA from 1 species